rnacentral:pre_miRNA from 1 species
UAAUUUUGCCAAGUGGUCGACGUCAGGUACUGAGUGACUCUGAGUUGUAAACACUCGGUAGGCACCCAGUACCUGGCGACGCCUCCUGGAUAAACAC